UACGAAGGGGGCUAGCGUUGCUCGGAAUUACUGGGCGUAAAGCGCACGUAGGCGGCUCUUUAAGUCGGGGGUGAAAUCCUGGAGCUCAACUCCAGAACUGCCUUCGAUACUGUAGAGCUUGAGUUCGGGAGAGGUGAGUGGAACUGCGAGUGUAGAGGUGAAAUUCGUAGAUAUUCGCAGGAACACCAGUGGCGAAAGGCGGCUUACUGGUCCAUAACUGACGCUGAGGUGCGAAAGCGUGGGGAGCAAACAGG
rnacentral:rRNA from 1 species